UUGAAAUUAAAUUAAUUUAAUUUAUAAAAUAAAUGAAAUCAUUAAAUUUAAAUAAUUUGGCGGUAUUUUAAAUAAUUAGAGGAAUUUGUUAUAUAAAUGAUAUUCCACGAUAGGAUAGUCCUUAAUAAAUUUUUAUAUAUUGUUGUUUUAAAAUUAUUUUAAAAGAAAAAUAAUUAAUAAAUUUAAGUUAAUUAGAAUUCAAAUCAAAAUGUAGAAUAUUAAGGUAUAAUGAAUUACAAGUUUUUUAAAAUAGAUUUAUAUUUUUAAUAGUAUAAUGAGAGAGGAUUUAAAUGUAAUUUUAUAUAAUAUUAUAAAUUGAAAAAUAAAUUAAAAUAUG
rnacentral:rRNA from 1 species